rnacentral:lncRNA from 10 species
AGCUGACCAAGUGAGGGUGUCCAGUGCUUUUUCACACUUGCUGCUGCACGUUUCCUUAGCCCCUGUCUCCCAGCUCCUCCUAGGGAUGGGAUGCUGCUAUAGAAAAAGCUCAUGAAACUCAAAGGCACAGAGACAAGCUCAUGGCUGCAUUAUGAAGCUUGCAUAGUCCCAGGAGAGCGGAUAGCCCUCUUAGCAGAUUCAAAUUCCACUCUCUCUAGAAACAUGAAGUAGCAGCCUACUGUGUACAAGAAAGCCAUCAGCAAUGAGGGACCUGCAGCCAAGUUCGUUACGGACCAGCUUGCUGAGUUGUCUUGAAAAGCGGGCUUACAGGUGUUCUAAGCCCAUGUUUUAUCCUGAAGUUCCCCUCGACAAGAAAAACGAAUUCAUAGCACAAAGUACACCAGUUUAAGACUAGCCUUAGAAUUCUUUUUUGCAUUAAUCCAAACAGAAGAGAUUUGUUUUACCAUUCCUUCAAUCGUUCCCACAGAGAGAAGUCAGAAAUCUGACUGCGUAUGUCAAGCCUCUGAGCCCAAGCCGGCCUGUAUACAUCCAGAUAGCCUGAAGCAACUGAAGAAUCACAAAAGAAGUGAAAAUGGCCGGUUCCUGACUUAACUGAUGACAUUACCUUGUGAAAUUCCUUCUCCUGGCCCAGGAGCUCCCCACCAAGCACCUUGUGACCCCCGCCCUGCCCUCAAGAGAACAACCCCCUUUGACUGUAAUUUUCCACUACCCACACAAAUCCUAUAAAACUGCCUCACCCCUAGUUCCCUUUGCUGACUCUUUUUUCAGAUUCAGCCCACCUGCACCCAGGUGAUUAAAAAGCUUUAUUGCUCACACAAAGCCUGUUGGUGGUCUCUUCACAUGGACACGCAUGACAUUUAGGUGCCGAAGAUCCAGGACAGGGGGACUCCUUUGGGAGACCUGUCCCUUGUCCUUGCACUCACUCUGUGAGGAGAUCCACCUACUGUCAGGCCUCUGAGCCCAAGCUAAGCCAUCAUAUCCCCCUGUGACCUGCACUUAUACAUCCAGAUGGCCUGAAGCAACUGAAGAUCCACAAAAGAAGUGAAAAUAGCCAGGUCCUGCCUUAGCUAAUGACAUUCCACCAUUGUGAUUUGUUCCUGCCCCACCCUAACUGAUCAAUUGACUUUGUGACAAUACACCCUCCCCGCCCUUGUGAUAAUGUACUUUGUGAUAUUCCCCCAUCCUUGUGAAUGUGCUUUGUACAAUACACCCUGCCCACCCUUAAGAAGGUACUUUGUAAUAUUCUCCCCUGCCCUUAAGGUACUUUGUAAUAUUCUCCCCACCCUUAAGAAUGUACUUUGUAAGAUCUACCCCCUGAUCGCAAAAAAAUUGCUCCUAACCCCACCGCCUAUCUCAAA